UAGUCCCCAGGCGACCUACAGCCACAGCCUGACCUCCUGAAAAUUUCCCAGCUUCCCACAGUCCUCAAUGUGGAAACCAGUGCCUAAAGGCCACCUGCCCACACUGGCACUGAAUUCCCUCGGCAGGACCACGCCACUGCCUGCUCACAUCCUGGGCCUGCUGCACCCGGGAGGGUCGCCUCCUGCUUACCCAGUGACCACAAACCAACCGCAGCCCAGGGAAGCCAGUGAACGUCUCUGCAUUCCUGUGGGCAAAACCACACCUGCUCUCAAGAGGUCUGAACCCCGGCUUCCAGCAUUAUUGAGGAAAGAAGGAGUCAGAAAACCAGAUUAAGGCUAUCGCGGCUCCCAAAGGUCUCACCAAAUCCAGACACUGGAAAAGGGUGGGAGAGUCAGCUCU
rnacentral:lncRNA from 1 species